AUGCUGCGGGAUGCAGGGAACGCGCCAGCACUGCUGGCUGCUUUCCAGAACUUUUCUGAGGCCUUCCUUCUGCUGAACAGUCUGACAGCAAAGCACCUCGAGGAACUCGGAGAUUCUCCUCGAAGGACCAGCUUGGUCCAAACUUUGCAGCUCCUUCACAAAUGCAUUCCUUUGCUCCACGCAGCCAAGCACAGCCAGCUGAAAUGCUCCCGGGAUCAGCAAGUCAGCCUCUCCAAGGACUGCUCCUUCCAGCUGAUGGAGAGGACCAUCAAAGAGCUUGUUUCCCUGCUCGUCGACAACCCAGGCAGCAAGGAGCUACAGGACAGAAAUGGGAUCUUCUCCCAGCAUGUGCGCAGGCUGCUGGCUCUCCUCUCUCACCCAGACCCAGCGUACCUGUCCGACAGCGAGUUCAGUGCUCACGUGGAGGCAGUUAUCUUCUAUUGCAUGCUUCUAGCAGACGUGUCCAGGCCAGAUCUCAAGCAGGAUCUGAUAAAACACUGCUGGGUUCUCCUGCAGCUGAGGAAAAGUAUCUGCUGUCACAGAAGCAAACCAGAUGGACAGACAAGGCCAAGCUGGGGAAAAAGCAGCCUGGAGGAGAAAUGUCACACCAUGAGAGAGGAGCUGGAGAAUCUUGACCAGGCAGUGCUCACAGCUACCCUGCACCAAAUCCUCGACACCUUCUUUGAGGCUAAAGAGCCCCUGAGGCAGUUAGUCGAAGAAGCCCGUAGCCUUGCAGGUGCAGGGUGUUUUCCAGCAGUGCAAGGACUUUUAAAAAAGCUUCAGCCCCUCACCGCCACCUUCUUCACACGCGCCCAGCAGAUGUUCAGAGCGGCAGACUUUGUUCUGGCCAGGUGCACCGAAACACAAACUGCUAGAGAAAUCCAGGACGGGGUAGAGUAUUUAAAGAGACUCCUUGCCAGUCUCCCUCCACUGCUCACAGAAAGGAGCAGAAAUGCAGCCCCGAGGAGCGGUGCUGAGCAGCUACAGUCCCUGUACCACGCGUGGGCUGGAGCGACGGAAAGCCUCUUGCGGUGUUUUGAGGAGACAGUUGGCAUGUGUGAAUUCCUUAAGCUAUCCAUCCAGGAGAUGGCCAAGCUCAGGGAAUGGUGUGAAGAGGCCCUGGAUAGCCAGGACCCCGAGAGGCUCUGCCGGCAUGCAGCUAACCUCACCCGCUGGGCUCACUGGGUCGCUGAAGCUGCUGGCAGGUACGUGGAUGGUGCCACAGACCCCAUUUUCAGGAACGGCUUGCGGGUUCGGGUUGAACAGCUGGCCGGCUCCAUUCUUGAGCUGAAAGCAGCUGCAGCCUUUUGUCCAGAGAGCCUCUCCUGCCUCCAAACUAGGGAUGUCUUUUCAAAGGCACUGAGCUGUCUGAUGGAUACUGCUUGCCGCGUCCAAGACGGGCUGGAUGGGGCCAACCACCCAGACAUCCUCAGCCCUCUCCGGGAACGAGUACGGAGCAGUGGUGUUAUGAGGGAGCUGGAGCUCGGCCCGUCGUGUGCUGGGCUAAAAACCACCGCUGCUGAAGCUGCAUUGCAGGAAGAUGCCCGAAGGCGCCCACCUUCACAAGCAGGUCACUUACAGCCUGAUGUUGCUCCAAGGAAAGGAGAUGCGCUCCCUGUCAUUGCAGCACUCCUAGCAGCAACGAGAGCCCGCGAUACAGCAGCCGUGGAUGCAGCUUGCUCUGCCUUGCGUGAGCUCUCCAGCCUGCUGCGUCGAGGCAGCAAAGGAGGCGCUGCCUGUGGCUGA
rnacentral:lncRNA from 1 species